AAGUAAAAGUCGUAACAAGGUUUCCGUAGGUGAACCUGCGGAAGGAUCAUUAACAAAUGUAAUCCAAUUACCAACCACACUGUGCACUGUUAACGUAUGCUUUGGUAGGGAAUGAAAUGGCGGGUGCUCUCGGGCGCCAGUCUUUCGAUCUGCCAGAGUUUUUUAAAUACUAAACAAACAAACGUCUUAUUAUCUGACUGAACUUCAUUUAAACAAAUGAAAAUACAACUUUUAACAAUGGAUCUCUUGGCUCUUGCAUCGAUGAAGAACGCAGC
rnacentral:misc_RNA from 1 species